UAGGGAAUCUUCGGCAAUGGGGGCAACCCUGACCGAGCAACGCCGCGUGAGUGAAGAAGGUUUUCGGAUCGUAAAGCUCUGUUGUAAGAGAAGAACGUGUGUGAGAGUGGAAAGUUCACACAGUGACGGUAACUUACCAGAAAGGGACGGCUAACUACGUGCCAGCAGCCGCGGUAAUACGUAGGUCCCUAGCGUUGUCCGGAUUUAUUGGGCGUAAAGCGAGCGCAGGCGGUUUAAUAAGUCUGAAGUUAAAGGCAGUGGCUUAACCAUUGUUCGAUUUGGAAACUGUUAAACUUGAGUGCAGAAGGGGAGAGUGGAAUUCCAUGUGUAGCGGUGAAAUGCGUAGAUAUAUGGAGGAACACCGGUGGCGAAAGCGGCUCUCUGGUCUGUAACUGACGCUGAGGCUCGAAAGCGUGGGGAGCAAACAGG
rnacentral:rRNA from 1 species